GACGAGUGAGCUCGUAGCCAUUUC
rnacentral:miRNA from 1 species